rnacentral:rRNA from 1 species
AUGCAAGUCGAGCGGACCGAACGGAAGCUUGCUCCUGUUCGGUUAGCGGCGGACGGGUGAGUAACACGUGGGUAACCUGCCCGUAAGACCGGGAUAACUCCGGGAAACCGGGGGCUAAUACCGGAUAACACCGAAGACCGCAUGGUCUUCGGUUGAAAGGUGGCUUUUUGCUACCACUUACGGAUGGGCCCGCGGCGCAUUAGCUAGUUGGUGAGGUAACGGCUCACCAAGGCGACGAUGCGGUAGCCGGCCUGAGAGGGGUGACCCGGCCACACUGGGGACUGAGACACGGCCCAGACUCC